rnacentral:rRNA from 1 species
UUUGUUUGGUGACCAUAGUGUUGCGGUACCACCUGACUCCAUUCCGAACUCAGUAGUGAAACGUAAUAACGCCGAUGGUAGUGUGGGGUCUCCCCAUGUGAGAGUAGGGCAUCGCCAAACGC